GCUUAACACAUGCAAGUCGAGCGAGAAUCGUUUAUUGAAGGCUUCGGCUGGAAAUAGAUGAGGAAAGCGGCGAACGGGUGAGUAACGCGUGGGCAACCUGGCCUUAAGAAAAGGAUAGCCCCCGGAAACGGGGAGUAAUACUUUAUGAGAAUGAGAGAGGGCAUCCUACUUUCAUUCAAAGCGCAAGCGCUUAAGGAUGGGCCCGCGUACCAUUAGCUAGUUGGUGAGAUAACAGCCCACCAAGGCAACGAUGAUUAGCCGGUCUGAGAGGGCGAACGGCCACAUUGGAACUGAGAGACGGUCCAAACUCCUACGGGAGGCAGCAGUGGGGAAUAUUACGCAAUGGAGAAGAACUCUGACGCAGCAAUACCGCGUGAGCGAAGAAGGUCUUCGGAUCGUAAAGCUCUGUUAUCAGGGAAGAAGAAAAUGACGGUACCUGAUGAGCAAGUCCCGGCUAACUACGUGCCAGCCGCCGCGGUAA
rnacentral:rRNA from 1 species